CAAAGUUUUUUUUUUUCCAUACAUUUUUAAUCGUGCAUUGUCAUCUUUUUUUUUUUUUUUUUGCAAUUUGAAGGAGUGAGAUAAAAAAACCAAAUGAAGAGGAGUCGGA
rnacentral:ribozyme from 11 species